AAGUUUUCGGAUGGAUCUGAUUUAACUUAGUGGCGGACGGGUGAGUAAUGCGUGAGCAACCUGCCCUUCAGAGGGGGACAACAGUUGGAAACGACUGCUAAUACCGCAUAAUGUAUUCGGAAGGCAUCUUCUGAAUACCAAAGGAGAAAUCCGCUGAGGGAUGGGCUCACGUCUGAUUAGUUAGUUGGUGAGGUAACGGCCCACCAAGGCGACGAUUGGUAGCCGGACUGAGAGGUUGAACGGCCACAUUGGGACUGAGACACGGCCCAGACUCC
rnacentral:rRNA from 1 species